CAUAGCGUAUAUUAAAGUUGUUGCAGUUAAAAAGCUCGUAGUUGGAUUUCUGGCAGAGGAACUAGGCCCGCAUGUUGCGGUUGCCGAGGUUCUCUACCAUCCUUCUGUUAACCCUCCUAGUUAUUUAUUUAACUGUUGGGAGCCCAGAUAUUUUACCUUGAGAAAAUUAGAGUGUUUCAGGCAGGCUAGCGCCCGGAUACAUUAGCAUGGAAUAAUAGAAUAGGACUUUUACCUCUUCUGUUGGUCUGAGGGGAUAAAGUAAUGAUUAAUAGGGAUAGUUGGGGGCAUUAGUACUUAACUGUCAGAGGUGAAAUUCUUGGAUUUGUUAAAGACUAACUUAUGCGAAAGCAUUUGCCAAAGAUGUUUUCAUUAAUCAAGAACGAAAGUUAGGGGAUCAAAGACGAUCAGAUACCGUCCUAGUCUUAACCAUAAACUAUGCCGACUCGGGAUCGGGAGCGAGAGUUAUCCGCUUUCGGCACCGUAUGAGAAAUCAAAGUCUU
rnacentral:rRNA from 1 species